GUGUCAGCAGCCGCGGUAAUACGUAGGUGGCGAGCGUUGUCCGGAUUUACUGGGCGUAAAGGGAGCGUAGGCGGUUUUUUAAGUGGGGUGUGAAAUCCCUGGGCUUAACCCAGGAAUUGCAUUCCAAACUGGAAGACUAGAGUGCAGGAGAGGAAAGUGGAAUUCCAAGUGUAGCGGUGAAAUGCGUAGAGAUUUGGAGGAACACCAGUGGCGAAGGCGACUUUCUGGACUGUAACUGACGCUGAGGCUCGAGAGCGUGGGGAGCAAACAGGAUUAGAUACCCUUGUAGUCC
rnacentral:rRNA from 1 species